rnacentral:rRNA from 1 species
UACAUGUGGGGCAAGCGUUGUUCGGAAUUACUGGGCAUAAAGGGUGCGUAGGUGGCUUGUUAAGUCAGGGGUGAAAGUUUUCGGCCCAACCGGAAAAUGGCCUUUGAUACUGGCGAGCUAGAGUGCGGUAGGGGUAGAGGGAAUUCCCGGUGUAGCGGUGAAAUGCGUAGAGAUCGGGAAGAACACCGGUGGCGAAAGCGCUCUACUGGACCGUAACUGACACUCAGGGACGAAAGCUAGGGGAGCGAAUGGG